rnacentral:rRNA from 1 species
AUUGAACGCUGGCGGUAUGCUUAACACAUGCAAGUCGAACGGUAGCAGGCCUUCGGGCGCUGACGAGUGGCGGACGGGUGAGUAACGCGUAGGAAUCUGCCUCAUAAUGGGGGACAACGUGGGGAAACUCACGCUAAUACCGCAUACGCCCUACGGGGGAAAGCGGGGGCUCUUCGGACCUCGCGCCAUGAGAUGAGCCUGCGUUAGAUUAGCUAGUUGGUAGGGUAAAAGCCUACCAAGGCGACGAUCUAUAGCUGGUCUGAGAGGACGAUCAGCCACACUGGGACUGAGACACGGCCCAGACUCCUACGGGAGGCAGCAGUGGGGAAUAUUGGACAAUGGGCGCAAGCCUGAUCCAGCAAUACCGCGUGUGUGAAGAAGGCCCUAGGGUUGUAAAGCACUUUCAAUUGGGAGGAAAACCUGCCGGUCAAUACCCGGCAGCUUGACAUUACCUUUAGAAGAAGCACCGGCUAACUCCGUGCCAGCCGCCGCCGUAAUAC